rnacentral:rRNA from 1 species
CAGUAGCCGCGGGAACACGAAGGGGGCUAGCGUUGUUCGGAAUCACUGGGCGUAAAGCGCACGUAGGCGGACUUUUAAGUCAGGGGUGAAAUCCCAAGGCUCAACCUUGGAACUGCCUUUGAUACUGGAAGUCUUGAGUUCGGGAGAGGUGAGUGGAACUGCGAGUGUAGAGGUGAAAUUCGUAGAUAUUCGCAAGAACACCAGUGGCGAAGGCGGCUCACUGGCCCGAUACUGACGCUGAGGUGCGAAAGCGUGGGGAGCAAACAGGAUUAGAUACCCCGGUAGUCCCUGUCUCUUAUAC